UACACACCGCCCGUCACGCCAUGGAAGCUGCGAGUCGCCCGAAGUCGGUGGCCCGGUAACCCUUACGGGGCCAAGCCGCCGAAGGCAAGCGUAGUGACUGGGGCG
rnacentral:rRNA from 1 species